GAGGUUGUGGCUCAGUGGUAGAGCACUUGCCUAGCAUGCAUGUGUGAGACCCUGGGUUGGAUCCUCAGCACCACA
rnacentral:tRNA from 1 species